CAGCCGCCGCGGUAAUACGGAGGGUGCAAGCGUUAAUCGGAAUUACUGGGCGUAAAGCGCACGCAGGCGGUCUGUCAAGUCAGAUGUGAAAUCCCCGGGCUUAACCUGGGAACUGCAUUUGAAACUGGCAGGCUAGAGUCUUGUAGAGGGGGGUAGAAUUCCAGGUGUAGCGGUGAAAUGCGUAGAGAUCUGGAGGAAUACCGGUGGCGAAGGCGGCCCCCUGGACAAAGACUGACGCUCAGGUGCGAAAGCGUGGGGAGCAAACAGGAUUAGAUACCCCGGUAGUCCCUGUCUCUUAUAC
rnacentral:rRNA from 1 species